AGCAGCCGCGGUAAUUCCAGCUCCAAUAGCGUAUAUUAAAGUUGUUGCAGUUAAAAAGCUCGUAGUUGAAUUUCGGGGUCAGUAGGCUGGUCGUGCCACAGGUAUGUACUGGUCUCACUGAUUCCUCCUUCCUGAUGAACCGUAAUGCCAUUAAUUUGGUGUUGCGGGGAGACUGGACUGUUACUUUAGAAAAAAUUAGAGUGUUUAAAGCAGGCUAACGCUUGAAUACAUUAGCAUGGAAUAAUGAAAUAGGACGUUCGAUCUUAUUUUGUUGGUUUCUAAGAUUGACGUAAUGAUUAAUAGGGAUAGUUGGGGGCAUUAGUAUUCAAUUGUCAGAGGUGAAAUUCUUGGAUUUAUUGAAGACUAACUACUGCGAAAGCAUUUGCCAAGGAUGUUUUCUAUUAAUCAAGAACGAAAGUUAAGGGGAUCGAAGACGAUCAGAUACCGUCGUAGUCUUAACCAUAAACUAUGCCGACUAGGGAUCGGAUGAUGUUAAUUUUUUUAAUUGACUCAUUCGGCG
rnacentral:rRNA from 1 species